GACGAACGCUGGCGGCGUGCUUAACACAUGCAAGUCGAACGGAAAGGCCCUGCUUUUGUGGGGUGCUCGAGUGGCGAACGGGGGAGUAACACGUGAGUAACCUGCCCUAGACUUUGGGAUAACUUCAGGAAACUGGGGUUAAUACCGGACAGGAGCCCCUGUUGCAUGGUGGGGGUUGGAAAGUUUCGGCUGUCGGGGAUGGACGCGCGGCUUAUCAGCUUGUUGGUGGGGUAGUGGCCGCCCAAGGCUUUGACGGGUAGCCGGCCUGAGAGGGUGACCGGCCACAUUGGGCCUGCGGUAGGGCCCAGUCUCCUACAGUGGACAGCAGUGGCGAAUAUUGCACAGUGAGCGGGAGCCUGAUGCGGCAGCGCCGCGUUCGGGAUGCCCGUCUUCGGGUUGUGAACCGCUUUCGCCUGAGACGAAGCUUUAGUGACGGUAAUGGGUGAAGAAGCACCGGCUAACUACGUG
rnacentral:rRNA from 1 species